GGGCGAGUGGUGGAAUGGCAUACACGAUGGACUUAAAAUCCAUUGGUCUUUGACCGUAAGGGUUCGAAUCCCUUCUCGCCCA
rnacentral:tRNA from 1 species